AGUGAACGCUGGCGGUAGGCCUAACACAUGCAAGUCGAACGGCAGCACAGGAGAGCUUGCUCUCUGGGUGGCGAGUGGCGGACGGGUGAGGAAUACAUCGGAAUCUACUCUGCCGUGGGGGAUAACGUAGGGAAACUUACGCUAAUACCGCAUACGACCUACGGGUGAAAGCAGGGGACCUUCGGGCCUUGCGCGAUUGAAUGAGCCGAUGUCGGAUUAGCUAGUUGGCGGGGUAAAGGCCGACCAAGGCGACGAUCCGUAGCUGGUCUGAGAGGAUGAUCAGCCACACUGGAACUGAGACACGGUCCAGACUCCUACGGGAGGCAGCAGUGGGGAAUAUUGGACAAUGGGCGCAAGCCUGAUCCAGCCAUACCGCGUAGGUGAAGAAGGCCUUCGGGUUGUAAAGCCCUCUUGUUGGGAAAGAAAUCCAGCUGGCUAAUACCCGGUUGGGAUGACGGUACCCAAAGAAUAAGCACCGGCUAACUUCGUGCCAGCCGCCGCCGUAA
rnacentral:rRNA from 1 species